rnacentral:rRNA from 1 species
AACGAACGCUGGCGGCAUGCCUAACACAUGCAAGUCGAACGAGACCUUCGGGUCUAGUGGCGCACGGGUGCGUAACGCGUGGGAACCUGCCCUUAGGUUCGGAAUAACUCCCCGAAAGGGGUGCUAAUACCGGAUAAUGUCUUCGGACCAAAGAUUUAUCGCCUUUGGAUGGGCCCGCGUUGGAUUAGCUAGUUGGUAGGGUAAAAGCCUACUAAGGCGACGAUCCAUAGCUGGUCUGAGAGGAUGAUCAGCCACACUGGGACUGAGACACGGCCCAGACUCCUACGGGAGGCAGCAGUGGGGAAUAUUGGACAAUGGGCGAAAGCCUGAUCCAGCAAUGCCGCGUGAGUGAUGAAGGCCUUAGGGUUGUAAAGCUCUUUUAACCGGGAUGAUAAUGACAGUACCGGGAGAAUAAGCUCCGGCUAACUCCGUG